CCCUUAGAUGUUCUGGGCCGCACGCGCGCUACACUGAUGCAUUCAACGAGCCCAACCUUGACCGAGAGGUCCGGGUAAUCUUUGAAACUGCAUCGUGAUGGGGCUAGAUUAUUGCAAUUAUUAAUCUUCAACGAGGAAUGCCUAGUAAGCGUGAUUCAUCAAAUCGCGUUGAUUACGUCCCUGCCCUUUGUACACACCGCCCGUCGCUCCUACCGAUUGAGUGUGUUGGUGAGGAGUUUGGAUUGGCCUCGGAAGGUGGUUCGCCACCGUCCGUAGCUGAGAAGUUCUCCAAACCGCCCCACUUAGAGGAAGGAGAAGUCGUAACA
rnacentral:rRNA from 1 species